GGCUAGGACGAACGCUGGCGGCGUGCUUCAUACAUGCAAGUCGAACGAGAAGCUGACUUCGGUCAGUGGAAAGUGGCGGACGGGUGAGUAAUAUGUAGAGAAUCUGCCCUUGAGUGGGGGACAACAGAGGGAAACUUCUGCUAAUACCCAUAUGAGCUAACUUGAAAUAGUUAUCUUGAAAACUCCGGUGCUCAAGGAUGAGUCUGCAUCUGAUUAGCUAGUUGGCGGUGUAAUGGACCACCAAGGCGACGAUCAGUAGCUGGUUUGAGAGGAUGAUCAGCCACAAUGGGACUGAGACACGGCCCAUACUCCUACGGGAGGCAGCAGUAGGGAAUUUUGCGCAAUGGGCGAAAGCCUGAACCGCAGCAACGCCGCGUGAACGAUUAAGCCCUUCGGGGUGUAAAGUUCUGUCAGUAGGGACGAAUUUUGACGGUACCUGCAGAGGAAGCACCGGCUAACUCCGUGCCAGCAGCAGC
rnacentral:rRNA from 1 species